rnacentral:tRNA from 1 species
GAGAAUGAUCAAGUCGAACUGCUAAUUCCACUAACUAAGAAUAACACCUUAGCCUUCUCA